UACGUAGGGUGCAAGCGUUAAUCGGAAUUACUGGGCGUAAAGCGUGCGCAGGCGGUUUUGUAAGUCUGACGUGAAAUCCCCGGGCUCAACCUGGGAAUUGCGUUGGAGACUGCAAGGCUAGAAUCUGGCAGAGGGGGGUAGAAUUCCACGUGUAGCAGUGAAAUGCGUAGAGAUGUGGAGGAACACCGAUGGCGAAGGCAGCCCCCUGGGUCAAGAUUGACGCUCAUGCACGAAAGCGUGGGGAACAAACAGG
rnacentral:rRNA from 1 species